CACACACACACACACGCACACGCACACACACACACACUGAGAGGAUUGAUGACUCAGUGUCUCUGUGGCAGUUAUAGUCUCGCUCUCGCUCUCUCUCUUCUUGAAAGUAUAGCAUGAUAAACCAUGAAAAGACUUUUAAGAUCUCCCAUAGUUAGAUAAGCACAUUUAUUAUUUGAAAUGUAUAUAAAAUACCUAUUGAUGGUAAAUGUUUGUAUAUUUUCAGACUUCACCAGUUUUGGUCUUAAGGGCUCUGAUAUCAUCAUUUUUGUCAUAAUCCUGAUUUACAACCUGAUUUAAAGCAGAUUUCAUAUUUUAAUCAUAAUAACCAAGAGGUCUAUGGGAUAAUGUUGCAUGUUGUAAAUGACUUUAAACUGAAUCUUGAUUUUUCGUGUUCUGUUGGGAAUCAAGCGGGUGUAUAACAUGUUCAUUUAUUAAAGAUACGUGCACACCUGUUGGUGAUUUGUAAAGUCUGCUGCUUCUAUUGUUUUAGUCCUCGUGUUUAUUGUGUACCUGUAAGGGACUAUUUUUCUGUCUUAUUUGUUAAUGAAGCAUAAUUGCAACAAACAACUCAGUGGAUCCAACUGAAUGUUCUCU